GAGUUUGAUCMUGGCUCAGAACGAACGCUGGCGGCAGGCUUAACACAUGCAAGUCGAACGCUCAUCUUCGGAUGGGAGUGGCAGACGGGUGAGUAACACGUGGGAACAUACCCUUUGGUUCGGAACAACUCCGGGAAACUGGAGCUAAUACCGGAUACGCCCUUGGAUCUCGGUUCUGGGGGAAAGGCUUUGCUGCCGGAGGAAUGGCCCGCGUUCGAUUAGCUUGUUGGUGAGGUAACGGCUCACCAAGGCGACGAUCGAUAGCUGGUCUGAGAGGAUGGCCAGCCACAUUGGGACUGAGACACGGCCCAAACUCCUACGGGAGGCAGCAGUGGGGAAUAUUGGACAAUGGGCGCAAGCCUGAUCCAGCCAUGCCGCGUGAGUGAUGACGGCCUUAGGGUUGUAAAGCUCUUUCGCACGCGACGAUAAUGACGGUAGCGUGAGAAGAAGCCCCGGCUAACUUCGUGCCAGCAGCCGCGGUAAUACG
rnacentral:rRNA from 1 species